AUUGAACGCUGGCGGCAGGCCUAACACAUGCAAGUCGAGCGGAUGAAGGGAGCUUGCUCCUGGAUUCAGCGGCGGACGGGUGAGUAAUGCCUAGGAAUCUGCCUGGUAGUGGGGGAUAACGUCCGGAAACGGGCGCUAAUACCGCAUACGUCCUGAGGGAGAAAGUGGGGGAUCUUCGGACCUCACGCUGUCAGAUGAGCCUAGGUCGGAUUAGCUAGUUGGUGGGGUAAAGGCCUACCAAGGCGACGAUCCGUAACUGGUCUGAGAGGAUGAUCAGUCACACUGGAACUGAGACACGGUCCAGACUCCUACGGGAGGCAGCAGUGGGGAAUAUUGGACAAUGGGCGAAAGCCUGAUCCAGCCAUGCCGCGUGUGUGAAGAAGGUCUUCGGAUCGUAAAGCACUUUAAGUUGGGAGGAAGGGCAGUAAGUUAAUACCUUGCUGUUUUGACGUUACCAACAGAAUAAGCACCGGCUAACUUCGUG
rnacentral:rRNA from 1 species